UACGGAGGGGAGCUAGCGUUGUUCGGAAUUACUGGGCGUAAAGCGCACGUAGGCGGCUUUGUAAGUCAGAGGUGAAAGCCUGGAGCUCAACUCCAGAACUGCCUUUGAGACUGCAUCGCUUGAAUCCAGGAGAGGUGAGUGGUAAUUCCGAGUGUAGAGGUGAAAUUCGUAGAUAUUCGGAAGAACACCAGUGGCGAAGGCGGCUCACUGGACUGGUAUUGACGCUGAGGUGCGAAAGCGUGGGGAGCAAACAGG
rnacentral:rRNA from 1 species